AGACUGUUCGAGAGUUCUUCAACAGAUUCCUUUCUUGGCUCUGCACAAACAGUCGAGUCGAGCCCAGAGAGAGAGAGAGAGCUCGAGCUAGCCCCAAAUAGCUCUGACUCAAAAGCAAAAAUGGCGGACCCACCACCACCACCAUUACCGCCAAAGGAAUUGCCAAUCAAUCGCUACAAGUUCAUUUGGCGAGUCCUCUUGAUCUCCAAUCUUGCUCUCGGAGCUUACAUGUUUAUUGGGGCUCGGAAGAGAGAUAUUGGCAUAGUAAAUAGGAAAUCUGCAGAAACAGGCGCUAAAAAUCACAAAGCUGAAGUUGAAGUGCCCUCUCCUCCUGCAACAACUACUACAAGUACAACUUCUGAGACAUGGGAUAUGUGAAGGUGCAGCAGCCUGCCUAUCCCUGGAGACCGGCAACAGUAACAUUUCAAGUAGACGUUAGAAGGGAAAACGAAUUCAAAGUCAAGGAUCCUGAAGAGAAUAAUUGAAAUGAUGAAGAAAAGACAAUCUUAAAAGUUUUAUCCGUGCAAAAUCCGCACCAAGCUUUUAAUUGGUGCUUCUCUUUACUGACAGAAGCUUAUACAGAGAAGUUUUGUUUCAAAGUAUAGACCAUCGCACUUAGAUCUUGUUAUGUUGGGAGAUGGAUAAUUUUGGCUUGAGUAACAUGUUUGCAGCAGAUUACAUGCCAAUUUUUGCUCGAUAUAAGGAUCCCUUGUCCAUGAGAAUUAUCUGU